rnacentral:tRNA from 1 species
GUUAAUGUAGCUUAAAUAAAAGUAUGACACUGAAAAUGCCAAGA